UACAGAGGGUGCGAGCGUUGUCCGGAAUCACUGGGCGUAAAGGGCGCGUAGGUGGCUUGGUAAGCGUGUGGUGAAAGUCCGGGGCUCAACCCCGGAUCUGCCGUGCGAACUGCUGAGCUCGAGCAAUGUAGAGGCAGGUGGAAUUUCGGGUGUAGCGGUGGAAUGCGUAGAUAUCCGAAAGAACACCAGUGGCGAAGGCGGCUUUCUGGCCUAUUCUUGACGCUGAGGCGCGAAAGCUAGGGGAGCGAACGGG
rnacentral:rRNA from 1 species